rnacentral:rRNA from 1 species
GACGAACGCUGGCGGCGUGCUUAACACAUGCAAGUCGAACGGAAAGGCCCCUUUGGGGGUACUCGAGUGGCGAACGGGUGCGUAACACGUGAGUAACCUGCCCUUGACUUCGGGAUAACUUCAGGAAACUGGGGCUAAUACCGGAUAGGAAUCCUUGCUGCAUGGUGGGGGUUGGAAAGCUUCGGCGGUUUUGGAUGGACUCGCGGCUUAUCAGCUUGUUGGUGGGGUAGUGGCUUACCAAGGCUUUGACGGGUAGCCGGCCUGAGAGGGCGACCGGCCACAUUGGGACUGAGAUACGGCCCAGACUCCUACGGGAGGCAGCAGUGGGGAAUAUUGCACAAUGGGCGGAAGCCUGAUGCGGCAACGCCGCGUGCGGGAUGACGGCCUUCGGGUUGUAAACCGCUUUCAGCAGGGGCGAAGCUUGUGGUGACGGUGCCUGCAGAAGAAGCACCGGCUAACUACGUG